rnacentral:lncRNA from 10 species
GGAACACAGAGAAAGUAAACUUAGAAAUCAUCAUGGGAUGUGACACUACCAAAGAGAGAGUCGGGCAGUCAUAAUGGGCCCCGAUUGCUGACCUCCUCCUACGGGAGGUGCAGCCUCUGUGCUAUGCAGAACCCUACUGGUCUCCACGCUCAGCUAAGGUGAUGAGCCACACAGACAGAGGAACCUCCUCCCGGUCCUUUGAAUGUCCAGAUUGAGGGACAGAGCAAGGAGGACAGGAAAGUAGCCCAGGGACAAGAAGAAGAGGGCUGGCAGCCAUGUGGCCAAGAGCCAAGCCACGCUAAGAUGGCAGAUGUGGGCAAUGUUUCCAGGUCAGGAGCCACUGCCAGGAUGCCAGGCCUCCUCGAGGGCAUGAGCGAGGCCUCUUGCGAGCAGGAACACCUCUUUGGAAGCAUGCUAUUUUAUUCUGUCCACAUUUUCUUUUCUGGUUUUCAAGAAGUUCUCAGUGAAAAAUGCUGGUCAAAUUUGUGGCACAAGCCAAACAAAGGUAAGAGUCUGCUGUGAAAAGCUAAAGGGACAUCACUGUGCAGUGGAGGGUGAGCGGCCGGGGCUGCGUCAGGAGACAGAUGAAGAUGCAGGAGAAGAAAGAUUCAGGGAGCAGAGAGGCAACUCCUGACUUUACCAAGGGAGAUAACAGAAGAAAAUAAACCUCAGCCAGAGGAGCUCUUCCUUCCAGCUGCCUGCGUCGUCAGUAUUGAUCACUGCUGAAAGAGCUGACUUGCAUGGCACUCCCAUGCUUGCUGGAGCCCUUGGCUUCUAGGGCUUCUCUAUGGAAGCUGGGAAAGGAUGUUGGGCUGAGCACUUUGUCUUGUCCCUCCAUACCACUUAUUGCCCACUUAUAGCAACAGAAUUCUAGACACCAGUUUCAUUAAAAUGAGCAUGCCGAUGUCUCCGAAUUGGUCAAAAUAUCAGAAUGUGCUUUGGGUCUAUGCACACCAGCAAUUAGAAUGAGAAUUUUGUGUCUGCUGCUGUUCAAACUCUCUGUAGCAAAUGCUAUCUGCAAUUAUGCACAGUUCAGCAUUCAAAGUUGACUGUGGGAUGUUAUCCUGUCUCCUUGUAUCUUCUGUUCUAGCUGUUAACAUUGUGUGUUCAUUAUUAAAGAAAGAGUUAUUGAAAUAUCAGAGGACAACUGACAUUUGCAUGCUGCAGAAUGAACAUGGGAUGAGCAUGGGAAUGAGGAACAAAAUAUGCCCUGUUGACUUGCUGUGUGUCAAGACUGGCCGUGUGGUGAAGUGCACGUCACUGAAGCCCUUUCAGCCUUGCUGUCUAUGUCUGUGCAAUUGAAAUCACAGCACUGAUUUCAGCCUAACAUGAAGGACUGAUGGAGACUGUGAGUGAGGACGCACUCUGAAAUAGACAAAUGGAACAGAAUAGAGAAUUCAGAAAUAGACUCACACAAAUAUGCCCAGCUGACUUCUGAUAAAGGUGGAAGAGCAACUCAUUGGAGGAAAAAAGUAAAUACUGUCAAUUGUGCAGAGCAACAGGGGAUCCAGAGGAGGCAUCUGAACCGCAGCUCCAUACUGAGAGGACUGAAGACACCCUUGGUGGCCAGCGCCACUGGAGGAUACUCCAAGAAAGUAAGUAGCCAGAAACAUAAAAAGAAACGAGAUCCUGAAAACAGGAAGUCAAACCCAGAGAGGCUGUAAGUAAAUCUGAGGAUGACAGCUCUGCAGCUUAUCAAGAGAACAACCUUUGAGAUUGUAGCAGCGAAUCAGAAGACUCCAAGAAGGAAAUCUCGGGGGGAAAAACAGCAUUUCAUGCCAUUGCUGUUAUAUUGAGGUUUUGGAGGAACUCGAGGAUGUAUUGAAGGCACAGUAUUUUUUUUUGACAAUAGCAACAAGAAAGGCAAUUAAAACUCCAAGAAAGUGCUGAAAACAGUGGCCCAAAUAAAAGCAACACCUUAUUUUAAGCAAUUGAUGCAGAAUGAGAAAACAAUAUAUUUUAUCUGAACACUAUGAACAUUUGUCAUCCAGGGAUUAUAUCAUGCACCCAUACAGAGAUAUAAUUCUGGCAGACUACUUUACCAUGAAAUGUACAAUAUUUUCAGUCAUAACAAUGUUAAUAUUAUUACUUAACUUUUAAAAUUUUGAAUCCAACCAUAGAGAAAGUAUGGAAGACAUAAUUAUGAUUGCAAAACAGACUAAGAUUGUUAAAACCACAACAAAAAGUAAAACUGACAGAAGGCAAAAGGUAGAAAUGAGAGAGAGAAAUAUUUUCAUCUUUCAUGAGGGAAACCUAAUGAAAAUACAAGGAGUGGAGGUAGCCAUAUGUCCUUUAAAUUAACGAAUAAAACCAUAGAACAAGGAAGAGAUCAUCUGUAGGUGAGUGGUUCCAAGCCCAUACUCUGGUGCCAGCCAGCGUGGGUUCAAAUCCCAGCCCUGGCACCUACUUGCUUCAUUGCCUUGAGCAACUUAAUUAAGCUCUCUGUUGCUUUUCCUCCUCAUCUAUAAAGGAUAAUUAGCAAUAGCAUCUACCUCGAGGUUGUUACGAAGAUGAAAUGAGUUAACAUUUGUAAAGUUCUCAGAUAGGGCUUGCAAUCGUGAGCACUACGUAAGUGGCUGAUAAAUAAGCUGUGACAUUUUGGAAAAGGCUUGCGCCGGGAGAGUCAGGAGUGCUGUGUUCAGGGAGCUGAGUCCUCACACACCUCGUAGGCACUGGCCUGGAGCUGGGGAACGAGGCAUGGAAAUAUUUUCAUGUUCUUAGAUUUAUGAAGAGAUACACUAAGCACAGAAAAAGCUAAAGACGACAGCCUUAAGAAAAAGGACUGGGCAGGGGGACGGGAUGGGGUGUGAGACUGUCUCUUUUUUGUUUAAAACAUACACACACACACACACGUACACACACAUAUACAUAUGCACACACACAUACACACAUAUAUACACAUGCACACACACGUAUACACAUGCACACACACCCACACACACAUACACACACAUGCACAUACACAUUGACAAGCACCAGGCAAAGGCCAGGACCAAGGCCUGGCAGAUUUAACCCCUAAGGACAAGGAAUUGUUUUCAGGUAAAGACUGCUCAUUACUCGCAUGAACAGCAGAAGGAAGAGCAGCCAAAGGUGUCAGUUCCUUGUGCCUAACCCAGGAGACACUGAGACAGAAGUGAUCAGAUGACAGCAGCCUGAAUGACCAGAUUCCUUGGCUGAGGAGCCAGGCCCAGACUACAGCUGAGGGCUUCCAGGCUGCAGCUGUGCCCUGAGGGGGUGGGGGCUAAGGCCUCCCACUUCAUCAGAACUAGGGAGAGGACAAGAAACAGUCUCAUGGCAGCCUCCAGGGAAGACAGGAAGGUGAGAGGGGGAUG